CUCCCUGAUGUUAGCGGCGGACGGGUGAGUAACACGUGGGUAACCUGCCUGUAAGACUGGGAUAACUCCGGGAAACCGGGGCUAAUACCGGAUGGUUGUUUGAACCGCAUGGUUCAAACAUAAAAGGUGGCUUCGGCUACCACUUACAGAUGGACCCGCGGCGCAUUAGCUAGUUGGUGAGGUAACGGCUCACCAAGGCAACGAUGCGUAGCCGACCUGAGAGGGUGAUCGGCCACACUGGGACUGAGACACGGCCCAGACUCCUACGGGAGGCAGCAGUAGGGAAUCUUCCGCAAUGGACGAAAGUCUGACGGAGCAACGCCGCGUGAGUGAUGAAGGUUUUCGGAUCGUAAAGCUCUGUUGUUAGGGAAGAACAAGUACCGUUCGAAUAGGGCGGUACCUUGACGGUACCUAACCAGAAAGCCACGGCUAACUACGUGCCAGCAGCCGCGGUAAUACGUAGGUGGCAAGCGUUGUCCGGAAUUAUUGGGCGUAAAGGGCUCGCAGGCGGUUUCUUAAGUCUGAUGUGAAAGCCCCCGGCUCAACCGGGGAGGGUCAUUGGAAACUGGGGAACUUGAGUGCAGAAGAGGAGAGUGGAAUUCCACGUGUAGCGGUGAAAUGCG
rnacentral:rRNA from 1 species